rnacentral:rRNA from 1 species
UACGGAGGGGGCUAGCGUUGUUCGGAAUUACUGGGCGUAAAGCGCACGUAGGCGGCUUUGCAAGUCAGAGGUGAAAGCCCGGGGCUCAACCCCGGAAUUGCCUUUGAGACUGCAUCGCUAGAACGUCGGAGAGGUGAGUGGAAUUCCGAGUGUAGAGGUGAAAUUCGUAGAUAUUCGGAAGAACACCAGUGGCGAAGGCGACUCACUGGACGACUGUUGACGCUGAGGUGCGAAAGCGUGGGGAGCGAACCGG